UAAUGAUUGUUAAAUAUUACAAACUGAAUAGUUACAAUGUCAAUCAAAGCCCAGAAUUAACAGUACCAAAAAUAUCUAGAAAUAAUAAAAAGAUAAAAGUAACAAAUGAGAAGCACCACCCCACACCUAAAAUAUGAUACUGUCCCUCGUUCUUGCAAACAUAAUAAUUUUAUGAGGUGGGGAAACUCCCUGAUCAAUCCUUGUCUAUGUCAUCAAUGACAUCUCGACUGUAAGGCUCCUCACCCAAAUCUAGGUCUACAAAC
rnacentral:lncRNA from 1 species